AUGAACGCUGGCGGCGUGCCUAAUACAUGCAAGUCGAGCGAACAGACGAGGAGCUUGCUCCUCUGACGUUAGCGGCGGACGGGUGAGUAACACGUGGAUAACCUACCUAUAAGACUGGGAUAACUUCGGGAAACCGGAGCUAAUACCGGAUAAUAUAUUGAACCGCAUGGUUCAAUAGUGAAAGACGGUUUUGCUGUCACUUAUAGAUGGAUCCGCGCCGCAUUAGCUAGUUGGUAAGGUAACGGCUUACCAAGGCGACGCUGCGUAGCCGACCUGAGAGGGUGAUCGGCCACACUGGAACUGAGACACGGUCCAGACUCCUACGGGAGGCAGCAGUAGGGAAUCUUCCGCAAUGGGCGAAAGCCUGACGGAGCAACGCCGCGUGAGUGAUGAAGGUCUUCGGAUCGUAAAACUCUGUUAUUAGGGAAGAACAAAUGUGUAAGUAACUAUGCACGUCUUGACGGUACCUAAUCAGAAAGCCACGGCUAACUACGUG
rnacentral:rRNA from 1 species